rnacentral:lncRNA from 1 species
UGUAAACUUGCUGAGGAAACUGUAUGUUCCAUGGGCAGUAAAUGGAUUAACUCCUAAAAUACAAAAUCCAGAAAAAUAAAUUUUUAGUAUAUUGAUGCAAAUAAGUAUUUUCUUUUUCCUUUAAUAGCUUAUUCUCAUAUCAUUAAGGAGGACAAAUUGACCAACUGACCACAUAAUCUUUUCUUAUUUCAGGUACUACUGAGGGCAUCUCUGGCAAAACUCUGGAAACUGGAAGUGCCCAAACAGAGGUCACAACUUUCUCAGGAGGCAAACGGACCACCCGAGCAGGCCCACCAGAGGCCACAACUUCCAUUGAAGAGACUGGUACUUCUGGAACUGGAUUCAAAACUGGUGAGAAGAAACAGCCCCUGAUUUGGCAUAAUAAGUGUUAGGUCUCUUAAGCUUUGCAUGAGAGAGUCUGUGUUUUAUUUAGGGAUGCUGGAAGUGAUUCAAGAUAGUUUUGCUGGUGGAGAUACAAUUUUUUUUGAAUUAUAAUAAUUCUAGAAUGGAGACUGACAGCUUUAUGUCUAAGGAUGGAAUGGAAUUUCUCCAUUCAUGUUACAACAGUCACUAGCACUUGAGGUGGAAUUCAGAAAGUUUUCCAUGAAAGUGUGUGAAAUACAA